rnacentral:rRNA from 1 species
ACUCCUACGGGAGGCAGCAGUGGGGAAUAUUGCGCAAUGGCCGAAAGGCUGACGCAGCGACGCCGCGUGGGGGAUGAAGCAUUUCGGUGUGUAAACCCCUGUUGCUCGGGACGAACAAUCGGCUUUAGCCGAUCUGACGGUACCGGGUGAGGAAGCACCGGCUAACUCCGUGCCAGCAGCCGCGGUAAUACGGAGGGUGCGAGCGUUGUCCGGAAUCACUGGGCGUAAAGGGCGCGUAGGCGGUCUGCUAAGCGUGUGGUGAAAGCUCGGGGCUCAACCCCGAGUCUGCCAUGCGAACUGGUGGACUAGAGCACUGUAGAGGCAGGUGGAAUUCCGGGUGUAGCGGUGGAAUGCGUAGAGAUCCGGAAGAACACCGGUGGCGAAGGCGGCCUGCUGGGCAGUUGCUGACGCUGAGGCGCGACAGCGUGGGGAGCAAACAGGAUUAGAUACCCUGGUAGUCCACGCCGUAAACGAUGGGCACUAGGUGCUUGGGGGAGCGACCCCCCGAGUGCCGGCGCUAACGCAUUAAGUGCCCCGCCUGGGGGAGUACGACCGCAAGGUUGAAACUCAAAGGAAUUGACGGGGGCCCGCACAAGCGGUGGAGCAUGUGGUUUAAUUC